rnacentral:lncRNA from 1 species
GGCUCCUUCAAUUUACUAACCACCCUGAACAACCUCUUUACGAAACUAACCACCCUUUUUUUCACUUCACAAAACUGACCACCCUAAUUCAAUCAAGCUAUGGGCGAACAUGUGCAAGCUUUUUUUUUAUGAAAGCCCCUCCCAGGGGCGAACACUAAAACAGGCUGCUUAUAUGUUCGCCCUCCCUAUGGGCGAACAUAUA